AAAAAAAAAGCUGAAUGUUGCUAUCAUUGGAAGUUUUGACAAGAUUUAUUGCCUAACGCUAAAACAGGAUAAUGGACUGGAUGGAUUUAUUAUCAAAUGCAUGCAUUGUUUUCACCAUUGCAGUAUUUUCAACUGGAAUACCACAAUGCCUUCAGAUGGUGAAACAGGAAAGUACGAACAAUGUUCCAUUUCUUCCUUAUCUAAUGACAAAUUUUAACAAUAUAGCAUGGAUUCUGUAUUCAACCUUGACUAAAGAUUCUACACUUUUUAUUGUGAAUGCAAUCGGAUCCAUUCUGCAGACGGUUAACAUGGUGGUUUAUUUUCGAUAUUCUACAUCCAAGGUUAG